rnacentral:lncRNA from 1 species
GGAUAACAAAUUCUCAUACUUUAUUUCAAUUGCAGGUCUUCCACUUGUCAUCUAUAGCCUGGGACACAUGACUAUUCAGGACACUGGAGAACAGAGGGAAACACCUGGCUUGUGGUCUCCAAUCAGUCUUUUCAUUCAUUUAAGGAAAUCAUCUGCUCCAGCCUACUGCUAUGUAACAGCGGGCUGCGCUGAAUCUUUAGAUCCAGACUCAACAUGGCAGUCCUAUUCCUGGCGGAGCUCUCUGUCCAGUGAGUACGCUUGUAGGAAACAAGUGAAAUCCCAGGAAGACAGUGAAAGAGAGUGGGGAGCAGUUAAUACAGAUAAAUUACUUCAGAGACCAAGUGGCAGAAUAGUGCUACAGCGUUAAUAAUUUACUACCAUGACAUGAAGUCAUGGUAGUAAUUGUGCUUCUUCUCACCAUUGUCCUAAGAUUAAGGGGUAAACGCCCUUGUGUGUCUUUGCUGAACUAGGAAGCUCCUGAAGCAGCCGCCUUCCCCCUGUCCCUCAGAAACUGGAACCGGAUUAAGGGGCAAACGCCCUUGUGUGUCUUUGCUGGCCUAGGAAGCUCUUGAAGCAGCCGCCCUCCCCCUGCUCCUCAGAAACUCAAAAUGGCUCCCUCCGAUGGCUCGACUCCGGCUUAUCCCGGCAGCCUCCACCAACCUGCCCCCGAAAGGUAGUGUGAACUAGCCAGCCGGGCCCUUGCGUCUCCUCGCCAUGGCCAGGGCAGCCUGAUCCGCAGGGCUGGCAGAUGCAGGAGCCUCCCGCUCCUGCCUUUUCCCCGGGCGGGCGCACACCGGCCUGAAGUCGGGAGGCUGCGGCAGGAAAACAGCCAAGGGUCCAGGGCCAUGUGUCUGAGCGAGAGCGUGACUCCCAGGUGCACUCGCUGCGCUAGCCCUGCAGCCUCUGCAAGGAAGGCACCGCCCACGCGGCCCGCGCAGACUCCUGCUGCGUCCACUGGAUCCUGAGCGCCAUAGGUAGGGGCGGCCCACGCGUGGCCUUCAUUCUCCUCGGUCCGCCCGUGAGCACUGCUUAGCCCUUCAGUGCCACCGGAACGAACGUCUGGGCGCUUUGGAGCUGCAGAGGCCAAGGACGGCUGCAGCCCCAGGAUACAUGGCUAUGAAAGACAUUCAUCAUACUGUGGGCUAGCCUGAACCAGCCACUCUGGAGAGACCACUUGUCAAGGCACAAUGGAUACGAACUGAAUCUCAACAACCAGCAUCAACCAUCAAAAGAUAUGCAAGUAAAUGACCCUUCAAAAGAGGCCCUAGUCUUUGGGUCUCACAGUUGAGGCCAUAGACAUAAUGGAGCAGGGACAAACUAUCUCUGCAAUGCCCCAUCUGAAAUCUUGACCACAGAAUCCAUGAGCAUUAUAGAUGAUUGUUUCAUAGAACUAAAUUUUACAGUAAUUGGUUUUUCACCAUUCUUGACACUUCACCAUAAAAUUAAUUUAUGUGUAUAUAUUAGUAAGCUUUGUCUCACUAAGUAGAAUAAACCGUUUAGGUCCAUUUUAGUCAGAAAAUUCUUCUAAACUGGUCUUAGCAGUAGAGACACCAAUAAGAAAUAAGCUCUGUUUUCUUAUAUAAAAGGAUUUAUGGUUUAGAACCACCAAAAAUUUGCCCAUCUCUGAAUCACAUAAGCUGAUAAAUGGAACUAUUAAAAAUCUUAACCUUUGUCAUAUCUUGUGAUGGUUCUGGUGGACACAUCCUUUGUAUUUCAGUUUUUUCUGAUAUUACCAACCUCCUCUAGUUUCGAUUAGUGGAAAUCAAGUGCAGUACAGUUGUACUUGAUUACUUAGAUCAAGAUAAUUCCAUCUUAGAAAAAGACUCCGUCUUAUAUUUCAUAGGGCACUUAUGCCACCAAGGACUGGAUGUUUUGCCUAAUAAAUGAAGACUGCUUCCAACCAGAUAAGGACAUAGCGAAGCACACUCCUCCACUAUCAGUCCUCACCAGAGGACUCUGUGGCCAUAAAAAGUACAGGACUUCACCAUCUCAAGACAGCUGUCUUAACAGACACUGUCUUGCUGUCACUCGUGAUAAGUACCCAACAUCUGCCACCAAAGACUCUGUCCACAUCAAACACUCUGCCUUGUAAGACUGAUAGACUACCCGGGCCAGACAAAGAUAUUCUUUUUGUCUACAUUGCUCUCCCUGGACUGGUUUGCUAACCCUUUUCCCAUUCCUUUUCUCUUGAUGUUAAAUGUUAAUUUGUCGUGGAAUGUUUAAUCUACUUACAACAUUUAUAUAUUGAUCAACUAUACUAUUGUGUGUGUUUUGCAAUAUUGACUGACUUGUGGAGUGGCUUGAGCUCAUGUAUCCAUAGCUCUGACUACUGAGUGAAUGGGAAGUACUAAAGAGAAUUGCUUCCUUGGAAACUCCAUGUAGCUUGUGGCUUUUGUAAUUGAAACAGCAUCAACACAAGUCUGACCUUGUAGAAAGACACAAACAUGCAUGGACCUAGAGAAUAGUCACAGUUCAGGACCCUGAAAUCAUGACCUUCCUGGGAGAGAAUGCCUGCCUUUGGAAAGUAAAUUUUCCAUAACCAGAGAGAAAGAAGAAGGAAAUGGGUAGUUGAUACUGCUUUCUUACCUCCGUGGGUAAUCUUACUUUUCUUAAUGUAUUUUGGGUGGGAAAGUGAAGAUAUGCACAAACUACUUUACCAUGUAUCUUGUACAAAGAGCAUAGUGGAAAGAGCAUAGUGGAAUUUUUAAGGUAGAGAUGAGUAAUCUUUCUCUUUCAUGUUACAGCUAUGUGAUUUAGGGCAACUUAUUUGACAUUUUGAAAGUUACUUUACAUAUUUGUGCAAUGAGGUCAGUAGACUUAUUUAUAGAGGUGCUAUUGAGUAAUAAAUGAUAUUGUAAAUGUAAAAUGUUUAGCACGAUACCAAACCAGACUCAUUAUAAAACAGAAGAAUGAAAUAGUUGCAGAUGAUAAUCUAAGAUGCACUCCUUCCCUCUUCCCUUUGCAUGUUUCUCUUUCCCUAGUAGGUCUUAUCUAGUCUCAUGUCUCCAAGAAUUAUCUAUAUGUCAAAUUUAUCUGCACCUCAGAAUUACCAGGCAAAAAUAAGAAAAUAUAAUGGAAACAAAGAUGAUACAAUCUUAGCUGAAUAGGGAAAUAGGUGAAGAGGAAAAGAAACAUGGACAUAAAAAUUAUAGGGUCUUUAUCAUCUGGAGAAUGGGGUUUGGAAAAGCAGGUUUCUGCACGUGAAAAAUAUAUCAUUUUAAAUUACGAAGCAGGAGUUUCAAAAGGCACAGUUAGUUUGUUUGGAAAAGAGAAAUGUCAUCUUAGGGUAGGAAAAGGAAACAAAUCACUGUAAGUAUAAAAUUGAAGUGGAAAUAUUCUUUGGUAAGGGAGAAUAGUGGUGGAGUGAAAUGGCAGUUUGAAGCCUGGUAGAUUUAAUACUGGUGAUCUCCUGGAAGCUGAUAAACAGUUUAAACUCACAGUGCUCAGCUAAGCCUUGAAGCAUUGGAUGAUACUCUAGUGUGGGGUUAAAGUUUCUUUCCACUUGGCUUACAUGGCUGAGAACCAAUAUCAGUAGGCAGAAACCAGGAUCUGGCCAUAGAACUUUGUGAACUGGCACAGUGCAUUUAUGAGGUAGCAUACGGAAGCAGUGUUGUAAGCCUUGUGCAGAUGACUGGCCAAGUAGGGUGAUCUUACUUGAGGAGAAUCUAUAGAUUAUAGUAAUUUGGCACAGUAGUUUAACCUGAUUAUAUACUUGUUUUAUCAGGAGUAAAGACAUUUUUUUGUAUCACUUGACUUCUAGUAAAACAGAUGUAAUUUCUAAAGCACAACAGAGAAAUAUGGCAGAUUGUCACAUACUUUUUAUUUCUUGUGAUCUUAGGGUGAUAUAAAAUUUAAAAUGUAGGUAACAUAAAAAUGAUUUUUAAGUUUUUCUUAAUAAAUUUUACAAACUAUAGUUUCUGUGUAACUAUAUUUCAUACUUCAUUUUUCAUUUCUACAAUCUUUCUGACACUCCUUUUUCUGUUAAUCGUUGUGUAUAAUAAAAGAAAAAACAUUUUCCUUUUCCAGUGAAUGUUGACAUUUUUCUU